CACGGGUGAGUAACACGUAUCCAACCUGCCGUCUACUCUUGGACAGCCUUCUGAAAGGAAGAUUAAUACAAGAUGGCAUCAGUGAGUCCGCAUGUUCACAUGAUUAAAGGUAUUCCGGUAGACGAUGGGGAUGCGUUCCAUUAGAUAGUAGGCGGGGUAACGGCCCACCUAGUCUUCGAUGGAUAGGGGUUCUGAGAGGAAGGUCCCCCACAUUGGAACUGAGACACGGUCCAAACUCCUACGGGAGGCAGCAUG
rnacentral:rRNA from 1 species